ACGGGAGGCAGCAGUGGGGAAUAUUGGUCAAUGGGCGCAGGCCUGAACCAGCCAAGUCGCGUGAGGGACGACGGUCCUACGGAUUGUAAACCUCUUUUGCCGGGGAGUAACGAGCGGGUCGUGACCCGCCAUGAGAGUACCCGGAGAAAAAGCAUCGGCUAACUCCGUGCCAGCAGCCGCGGUAAUACGGAGGAUGCGAGCGUUAUCCGGAUUUAUUGGGUUUAAAGGGUGCGCAGGCGGCGCGUCAAGUCAGCGGUCAAAUCCCGGGGCUCAACCUCGGUCCGCCGUUGAAACUGCCGUGCUCGAGUGCGUGCGAGGAGAGCGGAAUGCGUGGUGUAGCGGUGAAAUGCAUAGAUACCACGCAGAACGCCGAUUGCGAAGGCAGCCCUCCAGCACUGGACUGACGCUCAUGCACGAAAGCGUGGGUAUCGAACAGGAUUAGAUACCCUGGUA
rnacentral:rRNA from 1 species